rnacentral:rRNA from 1 species
GCGAGAAAACUUUGCAAUGUGCGAAAGCACGACAAGGUUAAUCCGAGUGGUUUCUGCUAAAGAAACCUUUUGCUAGUCCUAGAAACACUAGUGAAUAAGGGGUGGGCAAGUUCUGGUGUCAGCCGCCGCGGUAAAACCAGCACCUCAAGUGGUCAGGGUGAUUAUUGGGCCUAAAGCAUCCGUAGCUCGUUUUGUAAGUUUUCGGUUAAAUCCAUACGCUUAACGUAUGGGCUGCCGGAAAUACUGCAUAACUAGGAAGUGGGAGAGGUAGACGGUACUCGGUAGGAAGGGGUAAAAUCCUUUGAUCUAUUGAUGACCACCUGUGGCGAAGGCGGUCUACCAGAACACGUUCGACGGUGAGGGAUGAAAGCUGGGGGAGCAAACCGGAUUAGAUACCCCCGUAGUCCCUGAGCGGGCUGGCAAGGCGCAU